rnacentral:siRNA from 1 species
UUCAUCUCGGACCCAAGUGUUUGA